rnacentral:lncRNA from 12 species
AUGGUGUCUUGGUGGAGCAUAAUCAAGAUUAUUGGAGCAGGACAGGAGCACCAGAGAGAAGAGCUAUGGGACCCUGGCAGCAAUGUGGCAAGGCUGGCAUCUCUAAACUCAUCUCACAGACAUGAUAAUGGAGGGACAGAGAGACACAGACUGCCUAUGACACCAGAGUUGAUGAAGACAAAAGUUGUGCUUUCUGACUCCAAGUUGCCCACAUUUGCCUGCAACACGCCGCCCUGCAAGCAUAAGAAAUGGUCGCGGUCCCUCUGUUAAAGGUAAACUGAGACAAACAAAGGGAGAUGGUGAGAAAUCCAGGUGUGUCUUGUUGCACUUUAGCAUGUAUCCCCCAAAUAAAUUGAGUACCUGAGACCUUUUGACCUCA